rnacentral:rRNA from 1 species
AUGUUUGGCAUCAACGAAGCAAGGCUUGCUGCCUUGGAGCAUACAAAAUCAUCAGAGGUGGACCUCCAUCAGUUGAUUACCAGCAAGGAUGUGGACCUUAGGGUGAUCGCCAUGUGGGGAACCAGCGGUGAUAUCGGGAAGACGUCUGCUAUCCAGGAGGUUUAUGAUGACCCAAAGGUACUGAAAAGGUUUGGAUUCUGUGCUUGGAUUAGGUUGAUGCAUCCUUUCAGUCCACAAGAGUUCCUCAGGAGCUUGUUAUGGCAAUUUUAUGAAAAUUACCAUGAUGGGGUUGGAAAGCCCAAACAAGAAACAAGUGUCGGGGUUAAUAUUCUGGCCAACAUGGAGAAGUUGGAUCAAAGAGAUUUAGUCUGUAUGUUUAAUGCGCAGUUGUGUAGCAAUAGCUACUUAGUUGUCAUAAAUGACCUGGUCACAAUAGAAGAGUGGCGUUGCAUCAAGAAGUACUUUCCUGACAACAAAAAGCAAAGUAGAAUCAUCAUUUCUACGCAGCAAGCUGAGAUUGCAAGCUUGUGCACGGAGAAACCGUACCAAGUUUCGGAGUUGAAGCAGUUGUCAUGUGAUCAAACAAUUUAUUUGUUCCACAAGAAGAGUUCAGAACAGCAGAUCAGCAUGGCGAUGUAUGAUACCAACGACGAAGCAAGGCUUGCUGCAGUGGAGGAGAAACCAGAGGCUAUGAGUGCAUCGUGUUCUAUCGAGCCUGUUUCCGAGUCAAACAAAGUUACUACUUCCGAGAAAAGUGCAUCGAUUCCCGCCGGUGAAAUACAGGAGGAAGACCAAAAACCUAACAAUGCAGGUCAAGACAAAGUUUAUAACUCAACUGCUAGAAAGAAGUUUGAUCGCAGCAGGACACUGGCACUGGCUGAUGAACUGCUCUGUGGGCGAGAAACAGAGAAAUCUAUUCUUAUCAAGUUAAUUGGCCAACCAGACCACAAUCAUGGCCGUAAGGUGAUCUCAGUUUGGGGAAUGGGGGGCCUUGGGAAAACCACUCUUGUCCGAAGCAUCUACCGAAACCAAGAGCUUGGUGGCUGGAAGCGUGCUUGGGCAACUGCAUUGCGUCCUUUUAACCCUGAAGUACUCCUUAGAAAUUUGGCUUUGCAGCUUCAGAAUACUAUUCAAGAAGAUCCUGCUGGAGCAACAUCAACGGGAUUGCAAAAGAAAAGCAUAACAGUGAUGAAUCUUCAAGAGUUGAAGCAAGAGCUAGCUCGGCUACUAACAGUAAAAAAGUGUCUUAUUGUUCUUGAUGAUAUAUCGUCCACUUUUGAAUGGGAGUUGGUCAAACAGUGUUUAGAUAAUGCUGAGCGGAUCAUAGUCACCACAAGAGAGAAAAAUAUCGCCAAAUAUUGUUCAAGAGAAGACAUGAACAUGUACUCUCUUCAAGUUCUGAAAUAUGAUGUGGCACUUGACCUGUUCAUAAAGAAGGUAUUUAAAGACAAUAUGGUAAAAAAUGAUUUAGCCCCAGCUAUGAUGGAGCAAGCAAGAAUUACCCUGCAGAAAUGUGGUGGACUUCCCCUUGCAAUAGCAACCAUCGGUGGAUUCCUAGCCACUAAGCCAAAAACUGCUAUUGAAUGGCGAAAGAUGAAUGAGUGUAUUAGCACUGAACUGGAGAUAAAUCCUGAACUUAUGACAAUAAAGUCAAUUCUUAUGAGUAGCUACGAUGGCCUUCCAUACCAUCUCAAGUCUGCUUUCUUGUACCUGUCCAUAUUUCCAGAAGACCACAGAAUUAGGUGGGGUCACUUGAUGAGGCGGUGGAUUGCAGAGGGUUACUCAAGGGAUAUACAUGGCAUGACUGCAGUUGAACUUUGUCACAGGUACUUUGAUGAGCUCUUGGAUAGGAGUAUGAUCCUGCCAGGGGAAGGGAUAGACCAAUAUAAGCAGAAAAUCAGUUCUUGCCAACUUCAUGAUAUGAUCCGUGAAAUAUGCAUCUCAAAGGCUAGGGAGGAAAAUCUUGUUUUCACGCUGGAGGAAGGAUGUUGUUUGAGCGACACACAAGGUGCAAUACGCCACCUUGUCAUAGGCAGCAACUGGAAAAGGGACAAAGAUGUGCUGGAGAGCAUGUUAGACUUGUCAUAUGUACGGUCAUUCACCGUGUUUGGAGAGUGGAGAUCAUUUUUAAUCUCCGACAAUAUGAGGUUCCUCCGAGUCCUUGACUUGGAAGACACACUAGAGUUAAAAGAUCAUCAUCUUGAUGAAAUCGGGCAGUUCCGUCAUCUUAAGUAUCUUUCUCUUCGAGGAUGCCAGAACAUUUUUUACCUGCCUAAUUCUAUGUGGAAUUUGAGGCACCUUGAAACACUGGAUGUUAGAGGUACACGUGUAUAUGAGUUGCCAACAACAAUCACCAAUCUUUGGAAGCUACAACACCUUCGGACAGAUGGUUAUUGGGACCGUGAACGUGGUGUCAAGAAAGAGGAUGACAUAGUUCGUAAGUAUGAACGUUACAUUGAUUGUAUUUCCACAUGUCAAACAUGCAGUGUUUUCUUGAGACCACAAGUUUUAGAUGCUGGUUUGAACAGAUAUGAUAUAUUCAAUCUUUACCGCUUCCAGGAGAGGCAACUAGAUGGGGUUAUACAUCCUAAAGGGAUUGGCAAAUUGAAGGCCCUUCACUCACUGGGUGUUGUUGAUGUUUCCGGGAGAAAUGGAAAUGUCACUGUAAAAGAGUUUGGAGAGCUUACUCAGUUAUGUAAGCUUAAAGUUGGUGGUCUGAGCUACAGAAACAUCAAUGAGUUAUGGUCUGCCAUUGCUGGUCAUAAUCAACUUCAAUCUUUAUCAGCUGAAAUAGGUGACCCACAUGAAGAGAGGAAUGAGUUAGAUGGCUGUUUGGGUGAAGGUUUGUUACCACCAAGCAGCGUCGAGAGCCUCUCCCUGGAUGGUAAGCUAGUCAAUGUAACAGAAUGGAUCCAUAAGCUUCAGAAUCUCACCAAGUUGGUGCUAAGGAAUAGCAGAUUGGAGCAAGAUGAUGCAAUACAAGCCCUCGGGGUACUACCAAAUAUAGCAGUUCUACGCCUGAGGACUAAUUCGUUUACAGGGACUCAGCUCCAUUUCCAAAGGUCAUCUUUCCCUAGCCUCAUGGUGCUGACGCUCGGUUUUUUAGACAACCUCAAGUCAGUGUUGUUUGAAGAAGACGCAAUGCCUAAGCUCCAGCUGCUACAAGUUGGCUGGUGCUCAAAGGUGAAGGACAUCUCCGGGCUGCCAUCCCUCACAAGCCUCAAGGAAAUUCAGUUGGGUAGUCAUUAUCUCAGUGAAACAUUGAAGGAACCAGUGCAGAGGCAGGUAGCGGAGCAUAUGAAUCACGUCAAAGUGAAUAUUGUUGACUAA